rnacentral:rRNA from 1 species
CAGCCGCCGCGGUAAUACGAAGGGUGCAAGCGUUACUCGGAAUUACUGGGCGUAAAGCGUGCGUAGGUGGUGGUUUAAGUCCGUUGUGAAAGCCCUGGGCUCAACCUGGGAAUUGCAGUGGAUACUGGGUCACUAGAGUGUGGUAGAGGAUAGUGGAAUUUCCGGUGUAGCAGUGAAAUGCGUAGAGAUCGGAAGGAACAUCUGUGGCGAAGGCGACUAUCUGGGCCAACACUGACACUGAGGCACGAAAGCGUGGGGAGCAAACAGGAUUAGAUACCCCAGUAGUCCCUGUCUCUUAUAA